AUGUCGUCGGAGCCGCCGCCCGCGGAGCCCUCCGAGGCCGCGGUUCCCGCCAGGCCGUCGGCCUCCCCGCCGAAGGAAUCGGAGCCCGCCGGCGCCGCCGCCGCGCCAGGGGCCGCCCACGAGACGAACGCGCUGUGGGUCGGCAACCUGCCCGCGCACGCGGGCGAGGACGACGUCAUGGCGGCCUUCGCCCCGCACGAGGCGCUCGACUGCGUCGUCACGCGCACCGGAUCCCGCAGCUACGCCUUCGUCCUUUUCCGCUCCGUCGCCGAGUCCCGGGCCGCCCUCGAGGCGCUCCGCGGGUCCAAGGUCAAGGGCGCCUUCAUCCGUGUCGAGUUCGCCCGGCCGGCUAGAGCUGUUAGGAACCUAUGGGUUGGAGGAAUUAGUCCGUCUAUUUCAAAGCAGGAGGUAGAGGAGGAGUUUCAAAAGUUUGGAAAGAUUGAAGGUGUUGCAUUCUCCCAUGAUCAAACUUCUGCAUACAUCGACUUUGAGAAGCUGGAAGAUGCCAUUUCUGCCCAUAGAGCCUUGAAUGGGGCAGAUUUAGGGGGCAAGGAAUUGUGUGUUGAUUUCCAGAGGUCCAGAGGCAGAGCGGAACGGUUGGAAGCAGGCAACUUCAACAGUAGAGGAUCGUUGCCACCCGGUGAAAUGGGAGUUGGACAUGCAAAGGGUUCUGCUGGAGUACGAAUGAGAGAGGCAAAAAAUCCUACCAAUGUUCUCUGGGUGGGUUUACCCAAUACACAUAAAGUUAAUGAGGAGGCACUGAGGCGGGCUAUGGCAGCACAUGGUGUGGUUACAAACAUCAAAGUUUUUCCAGAAAGGCAGUAUGCUUUUGUGGAGUUUGCAACCAUUGAAGGAGCUUCUAAUGCUAAGAAUCUUCUAGAUGGGCGUCUUUUCAAUGAUACAAGGAUUCAUGUUCUUUUCUCCAGCAGUGGGCUUGCACCCAAUAAACUUGAUAACCUAACACCACCUGCUGGGUUCCCUAGAUCAGAGAUGUACAAUGAUAGUCCAUAUGCCGCACCUGAUUAUUUUGGUGCUGGUCGCAGUAGUCAUGGCACAUCACAAGGGUAUGAUCCUCGACGUGGAAGAUCAAGAUACUUGGACUAUGGUGCAAUGCCAAUCACUGGUGGUAUCCUUCCAGCACCUGAAGCUGGCUCAUCUUUGUUGACUGUACAUUCUGCUCAUAAUGCGCUUGAUCCGAGAGAAGCCAAAAGGGUGAGGUUGGAUGCUGGCAUGGACCCUUACCAUGUAAGGGCAGGCAGUGAGGGUCUUCAGCCGGUUGCUGAUGAGAGCUUUAGCUCUGUUAUUCGGAUCCAGGGCACGGCACACCAAACUUCAACCCUUGGGCACUUCUGGCGUGGCAGUAUUGCCAAAGGUGGAUCUCCUGUUUGUCGUGCUCGCUGCUUGCCUAUAAGGAGGGGCAUUGAGAUACCUUUACCGGACAUUGUUAAUAUCUCCGCUAGAACAGGAUUAGAUAUGCUGGCAAAGCACUAUGGAGAUGCUUCGGGUUUUGAAAUUGUCUUCUUCUUACCGGACAGUGAAGAUGAUUUUGUGUCUUACACUGAAUUUCUGCGGUACUUGGGCUCAAAAAGUCGCGCAGGGGUUGUUAAGGUUGAUGCAGGAACCACUUUGUUUUUGGUCCCGCCAUCGGAUUUCCUGACGAAUGUUCUGCAAGUUGAUGGUCCGGAGCGCCUUUAUGGCGUGGUACUGCACAUUCCACAGAUGUCCAAUGCUGCUGUCCAGAGACCUGUACUGACUGGACCAGAAUCACAAGCUUAUUAUGAUGGUGGUGAUACCAUGCUAGCGAUGCAAAGAAAUUACAAUAUGGGCUCUGCUAAUGGCAACCAUCAUCAGGAUGCUGAUUAUCGGGGAUCUUUACGUGAGGAAGCAGUUCAGUCAGGUGUAUCAAGCUUUCCCAUGAGCCAAAUAGCAGGACAGCAAGGACAGUCACUCAAGCCUGAUAUUAUGGCCACAUUGGCUAAACUUAUGCCAAAUGUGCAGCCAACAGUUCCAGCAAAUAGUCAGGUGGGUAAUCUUCAGCAAUCCGGUCAGCAGUUCGGCAGGCAAGCUCCAGCAAGCUAUGGGGGCAUGGUCGGUGCUCAGGAGCAGCACCCAAUACAUACUGCUUACAACCCUGAGGUUACCUUAAGCUUGCCUCCUCCACCUCCUCUCCCUACACAAGGACCCGUGUCUGCUCUCCCUACACAGCAGCAGUAUCAACCAGAACACUAUUACGCUCCUCAAAACAAUUACGGUUCCUUAGGAUCAGUUAGCCAGUCUAACUUCCAGUCCAGCAAUACCAACCUACCAGUCCCUCCCCCACACCAAAUGAAUGAUGGACCAUUGGCAGCAAAUAACCAGAUGGGGAAUUUGGCACAGCUCCAUCAGUCAACGUCAUUCCCCACUGAUAGGGUAAACCCGGAUUUCUCCUCUCAGGUACAACAGCAACAAAAUGUUGCUUCUGGUUCUGCUCAAGCUACUGAAGAGGCGGAUAAGAACAAGAAGUACCAGGCAACCCUCCAGUUUGCUCACAAUUUACUGCUGCAGCUACAACGUGGAUCUGGAAACCAAUCUUGA
rnacentral:rRNA from 1 species